rnacentral:rRNA from 1 species
UACGUAGGGGCCUAGCGUUGUCCGGAUUUAUUGGGCGUAAAGAGCGUGUAGGCGGCUUCACAGGUCCGCUGUGAAAACUCGAGGCUCAACCUCGAGCUGUCGGUGGAAACCGUGUGGCUAGAGUCCGGAAGAGGAGAGUGGAAUUCCCGGUGUAGCGGUGAAAUGCGCAGAUAUCGGGAAGAACACCCGUGGCGAAGGCGGCUCUCUGGGACGGUACUGACGCUGAGACGCGAAAGCGUGGGGAGCGAACAGG